UCUGCAGUGACCUAAUUGAUCAGAUGCCAUUUCUCUCUUUUCUCCACCCUCACUUCUGAUGCCUACAUAUCCCUCUAGACCACAGAUAAACAUGGAAGAUGAUAUGGUCAGGCAUUUUGCCUAAAGGUGAGCAAGAUCUCCAGAAAGUGUUGGGUGGAUGGAUGGAAGGCCUUGGGUGGACCAGUGCUGAUGGAGCUCAGAGUUUUUGUCACUCCGGAUGCCAUGGCCACUGGCCUCUCUGGUAUGUUGGCCGAGCUGGUGCUGCGUAGAAAAGCCCCGUAUUGACUAAGGAUCUGUGGGUUUACUCAGGGCUGUUGGGGGAGGACGUGGCCAUAAUUACCUUCAUGGGAUUGAAGGGCUGAUCCUAUUAGCAUGUUGGGCUAACCCCUUCCUCCUGGGCAUUGCCUCCUGGCCAGCAGCAGGGGUUUAAUGGAUCAAGAUUACGGAGACCAAAGAUGUCGUAUAAUUAAACUCAGUUAUUUCCCUACCUGGGGAACAUCUCUAUCCACAGCAGCAAUUGAUUUCCUCACUUGUGGUCACCCUGUUCAGCUGCAAGUUACCCUGGGCCUAAACAGCCUGUGGGCCAUCUUUGUGAAUGAGUUUCUCUCUUGAAGGUGCAGUUUUAGGUGAAAAAACCCCUUCUGAGAGUUUUGGGGUCAGAGUGGCAGGGUGUUCUAUAUGAUGGGGGCCUCUUUGGGAAACGUGUCUGGGUUCCACAAAGGUAUGUGGAAAUCUCACCCUUGGGUCACUCACGACCCCUGGGCCCAUGAAAAGAAGCUCGUCAGUCUUGCUUGGUUUGUCAAGAUUAGUUUUUCCAUUUGGUCUAAGAAGAACGGAUGUGACAUAUAACCAGCCCUACUACGUGCCAGUUGCUGUGCUACAUACUUUCCUUGAAUUAUCCCUAACAUCCCAACAAAGUAACUGUCAUUAUCCCUCCUGUUUUAUAGACAAGGGAACAGAGGCCCUGAGAGGUUAUUGCCAAAGGGCUCCAGUUUGAAGUGGAUUGGAUUUCGGAUUGCUCUGAUUCUAUGUGUAGCCUUCUGGCAGCAAUGAUGAUGAUAGCCAAUGCUGUUGAGUACCUACUAUGUGUCGACACUGUCCUAGGCAUUAACCUUACUGUUAUCACCAGUCCUCAACAGGCCCUACUUUAUGAGGCAGGAAUUGUUAUCUGUAUUUUAUAGAGAAGAAAUGAGCUUAGGGAAGUUAAGUAAUUCAUUCAAGAGAAUGAGAGCUUUUAGCUUCUAGAGCUAGAAGACAAGCCAGGCUUUGAGCACAAGGUUGGCUGGACUCUGAACUUUGCUUUCUCCCACACUCCCUGCCUUUCACAGCAUUGCCAGUGAGGCCCCCCCUUGGCCAGGUAGUUUGUGGAUGUUGAUUGAUCUGUUCACCUCUCUAGCUAAAAUGACAACUGUAAAGACAGGCUUGGCUCCCCCAUGGGGUUCAGAAAGCUCUCAGCCUUCAGGGGGCCUGUAUGUGCCCAUCCACUGGACUACCUCUUCCUAAGGAAUGAUCCCAAGGAGAUCUCCCCAUGGGCACUUGGAGCCCGUAUCCCACCAUUACCUUAUCCCUGGGAUUAUUGGCAAGAAACACUGAUGGCUAACCAAAUUAAAUAAUUAAAUAAAUAAAAUAAAGUUUGAAGGGAAAGAGAGAAAAUAGAUUUUGGGGAUAGAAAUGGAGUACAGCUAGUUCCCAGUUUCUAGAGCAGAGCAGGGCCAGAGGCAAGGAGAUGAGAGCUGGAGGAGGAGAGGACUCGGCAGAGCUACGCUGGCCUCACUCUCAGGCCUUUUAAAAUUCACCUCCACAGUUUCCAAAGGAGAAUAAAGGGCCCUCAGCCCUAAAUCAGGCCACUGCAUACCAAGGUCCUUUGCCGAGGCCUAGGGCCAGUUGGGCUGCAGAUCCAGCCUCUGUGUUUGAACUCACCCACGCGCAGCAUGCUAAUGAUGGGCUGAUUUGGUGCAGACCCUUCAGCCCCUCUCCCCACACCCCCACGGCCCCAGAGCCCAGAGUCCCCUGCUGAGGGGCAGCCUGUGCCUGGUGGCUUACACCCUAGUACAUGGUUGCAAAGAGGGUUUGUGUGUGGUGAGUGUUCUGGAUGGGAUAAAACGGAGGAAUGCCCUGCCCUGAGCUGAGAACCAAAGCCAGAAGGCACCAGUGGGGAGGAGAAGGGGGGAGCUCCCUGACCCCAUUCUCUUCCUUUCCCCUCCCUGCCCACAAUUUCAUGGGCAGCUUACUUCCUGCACGAAGCCUGUAGGCAUUUUUAGGAGUCCUUCUCUGGUUAGGUGUGGGGACCCAUGAACCUUCCCCUCCCUUGCUCCUGUUUGUAGAGGAGUUUCUGGUAAGAAGUUUCCAUUGCUUCUGCCUCCCUGUGGUUCCAGGACGCAGCCAGACCAGAGGCUCAGCCUGGACAAGAUCCAUCUUCUAGGUGCAACCUUGUGGCGUACCCCCAUACCCCCCGAGCUUUCUCCUGGUCUUCCUGUGCUUCCCGCCCUUCCCUGCCCCCCAGCCUCCACUGUCUUUCAAGGGAAGAGACACCACUCGGGGAAGACUGAUGAAAUGGGCUGCCCAAGAAUUGAGAGGGCCUGGUGAUGGCGAUCCUGUCCUUCCAAAGAGGACGCGCUUCACCCUAGUGCUUCUCCACAGGUCCUUCUGUGCAGGUCGGAACAGUGGCCUUACUGCAAGCUGCUCAACUCCUUCCUCACCUGAGCAGAGCUGGGGAGUGCCCGUUUAAUAACCUGCUGCGGUAGCUACUGUUGUCAUCUCUGUGUCAUGAGAGAGGAGCCAGAGAGCUAAGGACCUGCAGUAUGAAAACAGUGGACACGAUGAUCUCAGAGGGCUUUUAUGAACCGUAAGGAAUAAUAAUUUACCAGACCGCAGUCAUGUAUAUACCGCUGUUGUGAUUUUCGCCAGAUUUACACAGUUCUGUUCUUAUGGACUUAGCGUUCUUCUUCAAUUUGAUUUGUUGUUUGAAAUAUAACUUAGAAAGAGAACUAGUGAAAAUUCUGUACCGCUUGCAAUAAACCAAAAGUUACCUUACCAAUAAACACGCUAAAAACUAAACAAUGUUGCUAAUCCUAAUUAUACGCUGUUGCCCUUGGAAGGAUCUAGGUCUGAGCCUCCCCAGCGGUUGUUUAAAGAAAAAGGAACAGAAGAUAGAGGGAUAUUAAAGACAUGCCAGUAUCAAACAGAGUCUUUCUUCUUCAGUAACAGGGAGAUUGAAAGGAAUCAAGAAGGGAAUAACUUUCUCGACAUGUGCUUGAGUGUGCUUUAAUGCAGGGCGGCUAGCAAGCAGGUGCUAAUCAAAGAGCCCCUCUGCGGUGGCAUUCUCUACUUCUAUCUACCCAGAGCCCUGGGCUCCAUCGUUCCCGUGGUGGGAGAGGAGAAGAGAAAGAUGAUUUUCUCCCAGGAACAAAUAUACUAGAGCAGAGUCUCAAAUUCUGUCGUGCAUUUGAAUCGCCCGGGGAUCUCGUUAAGACGCAGGUUUUCAUUCAGUAGAUCUGAGGCCUGAGGUUCUGCAUUCUAGCAAGCUCCCAGGGGAUGCCAAUGCUGCUGAAGGUCUAAGGACCACAGUUUGGGUAGCAGAGCUCCAGGCUCCUUGAUUCCCAUCCCUGGGAGACUGACUGCACUGUGAAUCAAGUCAGUCCCUUCUGAAACUGGAUUCUAGCCAGAUGAAAGGCAACCCAUGACAUGUGUCUCUUUUGAGCCCCCUUCUCGAUAAAAACAAAAAGAAUGAAGCAAUUGAUUGGACAGUCUAAUGGGCACCAACCAGACUUGAGCUAGUGUUCGUAUGUUCACGAUCUCAUUUAAUCCACCCAGUAAACCUGUGAAAGUUUGUUACCCUCAUGCCAAGGAUGAGAAGAGAGUGUGGCCAUUGUGGUUGGCUUCUGCUGGGGAUUUUUGUCAUGGGGGUCUCCUGUGUUCACCCCCUCCCUGUGUGGCAGGAGCUCAGGCAUCUGGUCUUUUCUGAGUGCCACUGUCUAGACAAAAUCUGUGUCCUCCCCACCCCCCUUGCCCCCUGAAGGGCCGACUUCAGUGUUAAUGGAGCAGAAUGCCUUGGUUGUUAAUUUUCUAGUGCAUCAUCGAGAGGGUUAAUGAGAGACCAGCUGGUGUGCCACUCAGCCGUGUGGAAGCACCAUUUCCCCUUGAUUUAGGUGGACAAACAUUCUGCAGACCCCAUGGCAGCUCCUGACUGACGUUCCCCCUUUGGGCCUGGAUGGUGCCCACCUAGAUGUGUCAGUGGGCACUGUGUGCCAUCUUAGUGUGUACAACCUUCAGAGACUGAAAGCAGGAGCUGGUUCUGUCUCCUGCUCCCUGGAGGGGAAGGACAAGACACAAAUUUGACGUCUGAAAUGCUCCUUCUGGCCUGGGAACGCUGUCUUGGCUGAUCCAUGCCAUUAUAGCCAGGACCUUGCAGGGGAUGCCUAAGCACCCCCAAGUCCCUUCUCUGAUGUCUCCUGAGGCGCCACUGGCUUUCCAUGUGGCUAUAGCUAUGAUAAACCUACUUCCAUCUCCUCUCCUUUGCCCUGGGGCAUUUUCUCUCCACAUUAGAUCCAAACUGCCUUCAAGAUCCCCCAUGCAGGGGCAGCUGGGUGGCUCAGUUGGUCGAGGUCUGACUUUGGCUCAAGUCACGAUCUCAAAGUUCAUGGGUUCAAGCCCCACGUCGGGUUUUGCAUUGACAGCAGGGAGACUGCUUUGGAUUCUGUGUCUCGCUCUCUCUCUCUCUCUCUCUCUGCCCCUCCCCUGCCCGUGCUCUCUUUCUCAAAAAUAAAUAAACAUUAAAAAAAAAAAAGAUCCCCCAUGCAGGGGGAUCCUCGCACUAUCCAUUCAGAUUUCUCAGUACCCCACAGCCACGCUCCAUGUUCUGGUGAACUCCCAUCCAACCUCAAGCCUUGCUCAGCCUCCCACCACCUCCAGGAAGCCCCCUACCCCAAGCCUGAUUAUAGUGCUCACCCCAGUGAGGUCCCCAGCUCAGAACCCUGCUUGCUCUGGGCCACAUCGUGGAGCACUUUCUUACCUGUUGUUUUGUAGUGUUUACCUAUAUAGUGUUUUGCAUCUGUUGUCUUUUCUUCUCUGCCAGACUCUAAACUCCUUAGAGGCAUGAAGAAGAAUAACAAAGGCUGCCAUUUAUAGGGUGCCUGACACUGUCCUUAAGUACUUUGCAAUGUUCCAUUUAAUCUUCCACCUCCCGUGGAGGUCCCAACUAUUUUUAUCCAGUUUUAUAGAUGAGGAAACUUUCUUUUCAAGAUUCUAGACACGUCCAACAGCUUUCCUAUAAAGGGCCGAGCUGGGCUCUAAACCCAGAUCUGUGUGGAUGCCCCAGCCUGUGCUCGUCAGUGGGGGUGCCCAAAAGUCAGGGCUCUCAGAAUGAGAACUGUAUGUUUGAAACACUCCUCUGCCUGCUCUGUCCAGUUUGAGGACUGGCUCUGAACCACCACACGCUUCUCCCUUUCCCACACACCGAGCCGUGUCCUGAAGAUGUGGGGGCUUGGAAAUGCUCCGUGAUUGGUAGAGAGGGUAUGAAGACAUAGAGGGUUCUGGGGGACCCAGGUCCAUCAUACAAGAGAAUCGUGGAGCAAGGAAAAUGCGAGGAGGCAGCAGAGCUGGGCCUGAGGAGGGCAGAAGGGCAGUCAGAAAAGGAUGUUGGAGAAGGGCGCCUGGGUGGCUCAGUCGGUUAAGCCUCUGACUCUUGAUUUCAGUUCAGGUUAUGAUCUCACUGUUCUUGAGAUCGAGCCCCAUGUCAGACUCUGCACUGAGUGCAGAGCCUGCUUGGGAUCUUCCUCCUCCCUCUCUCUCUGCCCCUCCCCCACUUGCACGUGCUCUCUCUCUCUCAAAAUAAAUAAAAUAAAUAUUAAAAAAAAAAAAAAAGAAAAGAAAAGCAUAUUGGAGAGACCAAGCCCGUGACCCUCUCUGGACCCCAGCUGUAACUCAGGCCUCACUCAGAUCAGGGCAUGUUAAUCAGCUGGGGAAUCUUGUGAAAAUGCAGAUUCUGACCCAGCAAGCCUCUGCUAGGGCCCCCAUUUGGCAUGUCAAGUCAAGCCCCCAGGUGAUGCCCAUUUGGGGUAGGAAGGACCUGGACUCCUCCAAGCCCUUUUGGAGGAUCUGAUUCAGUCACUUGCCAGUCUAGCACCUUCCCACCUCUCUCCUUUCUGCAGGGUAAAAUCUAAACCACUUAUCAUGGCAUGGGAGCCUUUUCAGACACUGUCUCCAGCCUCACCUCCUGGUGUUCCCUACCACACUCGUGACCCUCCAGCCAACCUGAAGUCUUCAUAGUUCCUCAGGCACCCCAUGCCCAGUCAUCAUUUGGUAUUUUUUGCACAUGCUGUUCCUUUGCCCAGAGGAACACUCGUUGGCCUUUCUCAACCAGGUGAGGACGAGGUUGAAUGUCACUCCUUGGGAAGUCAUAGACUGGGGAGUGGGCUCUAGACCUAAGAUCCUAGCUCUGGAGAGAAGUCCCCAAAGGUUUCUAGAAUCCUUCCCUGUCCCAGCUCCCAGCAAAGGUCAUCUGUGGUCCCUGGCCUUGCAGAGGCAUGGAAUCAAGGUGACUUAAUUAUCCUUAAUUGAACACUCAUUAUUUCUUGCCACCUUUGUGUAAAAAUAGAGCUGAGAAGUACUGAAGUGAAACCCCACCUUGGAGUCCCAGGGGCAUGGGGCCCCUCCCUGGGAGGGUGAGAGGGCACUCUUUGGAACACGGGGAGGCCCUAGGCCAUCUGCGCAAGCUCUGGGGAGCUGGCCUUGUGACCUGGGCCGGGGCUGCCGGGGCACUGUGGUCAUGCCCUGGAUUCUGAGAGGCCAGCCUGACCCUCCUGUCAGUAGUCUUUUUUUUUUUUUUUUGAGGGAGAGUUUGAGCAGGGGAGGGGCAGAGAGAGAGGGAGAGAGAGAGAAUCCCAGGCAGGCUCCACACACUGUCAGCACUAAGCCCAAUUCGGGCCUCCAACCCACUAACUGUGAGAUCAUGACCUGAGCCUAAAUCAAGAGUUGGAUGCUUGAACCAACUGAGCCACCCAGGUGCCCCCUGUAGGUAUUUUUACAGCUGCUUUCACUUUAAAGUUUUUCUCUGGGCUGUGGAAAUAUUUCAGGACUUCCAGAGGGGUUUCCUUUGGUGCUUCCUGAGUUUUCUCCUGGGCUUUUUGCCUUCAGGUUCCAGCCCCAGGCAGGGGCUGCUUCUGGAAGGGCUGUGGGUGUGGCCCUGGCUGACCGCAGCCCUUCUUGGAACCUCCUACCCCCUGGUCACCCACCCUCCCCCUCCCAGGGAGGCUCCCUGUUUGCAUUGGUUUGCUUUUGCUCUUGCUCCCCCUUCUCUGGGAAAAAUGGUUCUUCCUGCAUGCACACCCCCUUUCCAGGCUGAGGAGCACACUGAUUGUAGGCAGGUAAUUGAGGUCUCAGUUUCUCUGGCUCUACGUCUGUUCCCUCUUCUGAGAGGAGCAGCUGGAGGGAAGCGAUGUGUUGCCUUGUCUUCCUCACCUAUAAAAUGGGAACAACAUUACCACCCCCACUGACAGGGUUGCCAAAUUUUUCAGCAAAUAAAAAUGUAGGAUGUCCAGUUAAAUUUGAAUUUCAGAUAAACAAUAAAAAAAUUUUUUUAAGUAUAUUAUAUCCCACGCAAUAUUUGAGAUAUACUAACAUGUAUUUGUUACUUAUCUGAAGUUCAGAUUUCACCGGGUAUCUUGUAUUUUAUUGGUGUCUCUGCCACCAGGUUGAAUGGCAUGUAUGUAACACUUAGCAAGGGACCCAUCUAGAUGUUCCUUGCUCAUUCCACCCAGGCACCCCUUUUGAGAGAACAUUUCAUGACUUUCUUCUCUCCUCUGUGCCACUCCCUGACCCCUAGAGGUGAAGCUGAUGAGAAGUUUCUGUGGGUUUAACACAGAAGUACUGUGAGAUGGUUUUUAUAGACUGACACAAAAAAUAGUGAUGUGAUUAAGGGGGAAAUGCCAGUGAUAAUAGCUCUCACUUACCUAGCACUUGCUAUAUGUCCUACGUUGUUCUAAGCAUUUUAUGCAUGUAAGUUCCCUGAUUCUUGACAAUAAUCUUGUGAAGAAGACUCUUAUCUCCACUUUACAAAUGAGACCACAGAUGCAUAAAUUAGGCAAGUGAUUUGCUCAAAGACGCUUAGCUCGUAAAUGAUGAGCUGGGAAAUGAACUCAAGCAAUUUGACUCCUGUGGUCUUGCUCUUUAAUAGGACACAAGGCCGCAUCUUGCCUACCAACAGCCACGCUAAGAAUGUGAAGUUACUUUCAGGUCAAGAACAUGGAAACCUACAGGGAUGGUUUCACAAAGCAGGUGAUAACACAGCCUGCUCCCAGAGAGAAGAGUGACUUCCUUGUUUCCCCUGAGAUCCCUGGAUGGAAAGAGGGUUUGGCCAGGCAUGAGGACCUCACACCAGGGUCUCUACCCACCUGCUCACCACCCCCUGAAUGUUGUGGAGACACUGGCCACAUGCCAGCCUGUCACCAAGAAAAGAGACCCUGACACAUCUCUGUGUAUUUGCUGAGAGGUUGUAUAAAGUGAAUGUCCCCAAGAGGCCCGGGUUCCAGGCCUGUCUGAGGCCCAUGCCUGUAAAACCUAAUUCCAGGUCCUUUCCAGAUUUAUCAAUUCACAAAUAAUUAUGUCACAAUGGGAUGUCUUCCUUCUCCUUGAGAAUCUUCAUGAUUCUCCAGCAUAGAAUUUUUUUCCCUUUGUAAAAGGAAUGCAUGUAGUUAAUGAAGACUAGAAAAAUGCCUAAAAAUAGAAGGGAGAAAAUCCAAGUGCCACUGUCCCACCCCCUGAGAAGAGCCUUCCUCUUUGCUCUUGUUUGUCACCCAGGGUCUGGGCAUGUAGCCCAACUGUGUGCUCCUGGCAGGAGUGAGGCUGGAGGCCAGGGCAUGACAGAAACCCCUGACAGCCCCAUGUCCCAGCACCAACCCUGGAUGCUUGUGCCAAGGGGGAUAAAUGUGAAAGAGGGUCUGGAAACCAACAGGUGGCAUCUCCCCUUCUCCAGCUGGCUCUUUCAGACAUGGCGAGGAUCAGGUGCCCACAGAUACUCUCUCAAGGUCAUCACAUGCCCACCUGUCCACACCCCAGCCCAUCCCAGGGGCCACAGUGUGGAGGUGCCCGCUGCUACAGGGAGCUGCCUCGGCCCUAUCCCAGCUUGUGGCUGUGACCAGUGUCCAGAAUGUGUAUAUAGGUAGCAUUAGUGGCUCUGUUUGGCUAGAAGCCUAGAUCCAAGUCUCCCCCACCUCUUUUUCUACCGCAUGCCUCCCCUAGACCCAGUUUCUCCAUGUUGUGGUCUUUCCUCAUUUUCCAAAGGUUGACUCCAGUUAAUUCAAAGAGAAAUCUGAGACCAAGACCUUUGUCUGUUGUCUCUGUUACUAGCUUCUUCGGUUCUCUGCCCUUUUCUCCAUGUCCCCUCCCCACCAGGUCCUCAAGGGACUGUUCAGUAAGUACUUAUUGGCAGGUUCCAAGAGGCCGUGAUUUAUCCAUCUGGAGACCAGAGUCCCCAGCCGGUUACUUAUUGCCACAUCCAUCAGGGUCCAGCAGGAAACAGGUGGCACAUUCAGCUGGGAAGUUUGGGGAGAGCUUAAAUGGGACCAUGACCAAAAUGUGGGCAGAAUGAGGGGAGGGUCUGGUUCCCACACCGGAGGCACAGAGGCCAAGUGUGAGACUUGGCAGGAGCUGCAACCUCCAAUCAAAUCACACAGCCUGGGUGGCCCACAGGGAGGGGCUGGGGGGAGAAGUACCCCAGCCUCAGAUCCUCCCUUCCUCUGAUUUCUCUGGGGCAGAAAACAGGGUAGAGAAGCAGGAAAAAAUGGGCCUGGAGGGGCACACGCCAGAAACUCUCUGAAGUUUUCCCCAUCUGCAAAGCGAGGGUUAUGAAACCCGCCCCGUGUAUGUUGUGUGGUUGCUGGAAAAAUCAGCUGAGACCAUGAAUGGGGACAGCAUGUGUGCCUCAUACUCUUUUAUGCCAGAGUAAGGGAUAAUUGUUAUUAUUGAUAAACACUCACUGGGUACCCCCCACGGAAUGAGGCUUCCACUUUCUCAUUUCUGCUUGGGAUCCUCUAAUCUCCAAAGGACAUGUGGGUAAAGGAAACAGAAAUUGCAAAAUUGCAGAAGCCUUCCUCUGAAUCCCAGAGCCCUGCUUAAUGUUCAUGUGACAUCGGGCAAGUCGUCAGUGAGCCUCUCUUUAGUGAAAUGUACCUCAUUGGGCCGGUUUGGGAUUCACAGGAGCAUGGAUACUGUCAUUACUAUUAGCCAGCCUUGUGUUGGGGGAGGUGUCGGUUAGAGGAUCUAGGAGGCAACCUUGACCCAAUUGGAAAGACUUAACUUCCAGAUGGGUAGGGCUUUCUGAAAGGCCCAAGAUGGGUGCCGAGGCUCCCAGAGGUGGUGUAGGUAGGCUGGGGGUCUGCAUGGUUCUCUAGAAGGCAGUGAGGCCUGGCUGCUGCCUGCCCACUUCUCUCAGUCAGAGCACUCGUCAGCAGCACUGCAUAGAGGCUGAAGGGGUCAAGGACAACAACUCCAUCAAGUGACAGUGUCUCCCCUGGAUAAGUGCCCUACCUCGGGAGACUUCCAUAUAACCGAAGAUUUGUUGACUGAACAAAUGAAUGAAUGAACAAAUGAAUGAAUGAACAAAUGAAUGAAUGAUUGAUUGUUAGUCUGCAUUACAGGUUCUCCUUAGAACCAGAGAGCCUUAGAUGUGAAUGUUGAUUCUAUGAAGUCAUUACAUCUUGUAACCCUGGGUUUCCUCAUCUGUGAAAUCAGGGUAUGAUUCAUAGGAAUGGUGUAGUUGCAAAGCUGACGCUUGAUUAAAUACAGUUACACAGGGGCACCUGGGUGGCUCAGUUGGUUAAGCGUCUGACUCUUGAUUUUAGCUCGGGUCCUGAUCUCAAGAUUGGAAGAAUUCUGUGUAAGAGUCUCUUUCCCUCUCUCUCUGCCUCUCUCCUGCUUGCACACCUGCACAUGUGCAUGCACGAGUGCUCUCCUCUCUCUCUCUCUC